UACGGGAGGCAGCAGUGGGGAAUUUUGGACAAUGGGCGAAAGCCUGAUCCAGCAAUGCCGCGUGUGUGAAGAAGGCCUUCGGGUUGUAAAGCACUUUUGUCCGGAAAGAAAACCUCCGCCCUAAUAUGGUGGGGGGAUGACGGUACCGGAAGAAUAAGCACCGGCUAACUACGUGCCAGCAGCCGCGGUAAUACGUAGGGUGCAAGCGUUAAUCGGAAUUACUGGGCGUAAAGCGUGCGCAGGCGGUCCGCUAAGACAGAUGUGAAAUCCCCGGGCUUAACCUGGGAACUGCAUUUGUGACUGGCGGGCUAGAGUAUGGCAGAGGGGGGUAGAAUUCCACGUGUAGCAGUGAAAUGCGUAGAGAUGUGGAGGAAUACCGAUGGCGAAGGCAGCCCCCUGGGCCAAUACUGACGCUCAUGCACGAAAGCGUGGGGAGCAAACAGGAUUAGAUACCCUGGUAGUCCACGCCCUAAACGAUGUCAACUAGUUGUCGGGUCUUCAUUGACUUGGUAACGUAGCUAACGCGUGAAGUUGACCGCCUGGGGAGUACGGUCGCAAGAUUAAAACUCAAAGGAAUUGACGGGGACCCGCACAAGCGGUGGAUGAUGUGGAUUAAUUCGAUGCAACGCGAAAAACCUUACCUACCCUUGACAUGUAUGGAACCUGGCUGAGAGGUCAGGGUGCCCGAAAGGGAGCCAUAACACAGGUGCUGC
rnacentral:rRNA from 1 species